rnacentral:misc_RNA from 1 species
AUGGAAUCUCUUUUUGCUCAAUUCGCCAUUCUUUCGGAGCAAGCUCUUUGUGACAAGAACUUCGAUCCUUACACUAUAGAAGAUGAUCUGAUGAAGCUCUUUGAAGUGGAGGCUUACAAGGCUUGGGCAGCCAUGGAAUUGGAUCAACAAAAAGAAGUUGAAGAAGCUGAAAAUUUCAUGAAAGAAGCAGAGGAUCAUCUUAACACUGCUAUGGAAGAAGCCAUGGAUGAAUUUCGCCGAUUCGAAGAGGAGAUGAAUGAGAUGGCUAAAUCUGAGUAUGAUAGCCUUGUGAGUGUUGCCGAAAGAGCUAGAAAUAUGGGGAAAGCUAUGGAGAAAGUGGCUACAAUUGCUGCCAAAAAGUAUAUUGAAACUGCUGUAAACUCUGCUGGUGCUUCAACGAAAUCUGCUUUUAAAGCAAUUUCUUCUCACUCUAAAAAGGUUCAUCCUUCUUAACAGAUCUCUCCCUAAUCAUCAAUUUGGACUUCAUUUGCUGAAUUGUGUUGGAUUAUAAAUGCAUAAUAAGUAUUUAAAGUUGUUUUCUAUUGAGCUGAGCUGAGAGUCUUUCGAAAACAGCCUCUCUAACUACAUUCUACUGAGAUUUUAAUCGGCUAUGUUGUUGUUGUAUUCUAAU